UAGCGCGCAAAGCCUCGGCUUGUUAAGCCGAAGGUCCCGGGUUCGAUUCCCGUUGGGUCCC
rfam:Habropoda laboriosa contig42477, whole genome shotgun sequence.